rnacentral:rRNA from 1 species
CCUACGGGGGGCUGCAGUGGGGAAUCUUCCGCAAUGGGCGCAAGUCUGACGGAGCAACGCCGCGUGAAUGAAGAAGGUCUUCGGAUCGUAAAGUUCUGUUCUUAGGGAAGAAGUCUUAGGUUGUGAAUAGUUACUUCAGGUGACGGUACCUCUGGAGAAAGCUCCGGCUAACUACGUGCCAGCAGCCGCGGUAAUACGUAGGGAGCGAGCGUUGUCCGGAAUUACGGGGCGGAAAGGGCGCGUAGGCGGGAACUUAAGUUAGAUGUGAAAACUCCGGGCUUAAACUGGAGACUGCAUUUAAAACUGGGUGUCUUGAGGGCAGGAGAGGAGAGUGGAAUUCCUAGUGUAGCGGUGAAAUGCGUAGAUAUUAGGAGGAACACCAGUGGCGAAGGCGACUUUCUGGACUGUACCUGACGCUGAGGCGCGAAAGCAUGGGGAGCGAACAGGAUUAGAUACCCCGGUAGUC